AGGAAGGAGCAGAAGAAGAUAAGUGUAAAAAUAAAAUUAACCGAGGGAGGAUAGCCACACCAGAAAGCAAACAAAAGAAGUUUAUCCACUUGCGGAAAAAUUGGUUGAACAGCUGGCAAAUUCCAGUUGCUAGACAGACUCUUAACCUUGCUACAUGUGCAGAAGCCCAAAGUUCUCAUUUUCUCAAUGGACUAAAGUCUUGAUAGUAAUUGAACAUUACAUUGGAAGAAGGUUAUUGAAACUUUUUGAUUGAUGAUAGUGUUAAAACUGGACGAAAGAAGAGGCAGGAUGCAUUCGGUUGUUAACUGGAGCAUGGAAUUAAAGAGAUUGAGGAGUCUCUUACCUCUGAAGGCCACAAAUUAUCCCUGCUUUGCGAGGAAUUAUGGGGAAAUGAGUCUGAAAAUUAAAUAGUUUCUGUAAGGUUAGCGAAUGAAAAAAAAAAUGCUAAAUGGAAGCAGUGAUAUUCUUUAGAGAAGCAGUUAAACUUGCAUGAAAUAUAGUUCAAACUCAAAUAUCUGCUCAGUACAAACAUUAAAGUGUCUCUAUGUUUAGAAUGAUAAAACGACUACAUUCAAAACUGUUAUUUUUUAUAGUGGAAAUCCUAGGUGGCGUGAUCUCA